AUGAACGCUAGCUACAGGCUUAACACAUGCAAGUCGAGGGGCAGCAUGGUCUUAGCUUGCUAAGGCCGAUGGCGACCGGCGCACGGGUGAGUAACACGUAUCCAACCUGCCGUCUACUCUUGGACAGCCUUCUGAAAGGAAGAUUAAUACAAGAUGGCAUCAUGAGUCCGCAUGUUCACAUGAUUAAAGGUAUUCCGGUAGACGAUGGGGAUGCGUUCCAAUAGAUAGUAGGCGGGGUAACGGCCCACCUAGUCUUCGAUGGAUAGGGGUUCUGAGAGGAAGGUCCCCCACAUUGGAACUGAGACACGGUCCAAACUCCUACGGGAGGCAGCAGUGAGGAAUAUUGGUCAAUGGGCGAGAGCCUGAACCAGCCAAGUAGCGUGAAGGAUGACUGCCCUAUGGGUUGUAAACUUCUUUUAUAAAGGAAUAAAGUCGGGUAUGCAUACCCGUUUGCAUGUACUUUAUGAAUAAGGAUCGGCUAACUCCGUGCCAGCAGCCGCGGUAAUACGGAGGAUCCGAGCGUUAUCCGGAUUUAUUGGGUUUAAAGGGAGCGUAGAUGGAUGUUUAAGUCAGUUGUGAAAGUUUGCGGCUCAACCGUAAAAUUGCAGUUGAUACUGGAUAUCUUGAGUGCAGUUGAGGCAGGCGGAAUUCGUGGUGUAGCGGUGAAAUGCUUAGAUAUCACGAAGAACUCCGAUUGCGAAGGCAGCCUGCUAAGCUGCAACUGACAUUGAGGCUCGAAAGUGUGGGUAUCAAACAGGAUUAGAUACCCUGGUAGUCCACACGGUAAACGAUGAAUACUCGCUGUUUGCGAUAUACAGCAAGCGGCCAAGCGAAAGCGUUAAGUAUUCCACCUGGGGAGUACGCCGGCAACGGUGAAACUCAAAGGAAUUGACGGGGGCCCGCACAAGCGGAGGAACAUGUGGUUUAAUUCGAUGAUACGCGAGGAACCUUACCCGGGCUUAAAUUGCAGAUGAAUUACGGUGAAAGCCGUAAGCCGCAAGGCAUCUGUGAAGGUGCUGCAUGGUUGUCGUCAGCUCGUGCCGUGAGGUGUCGGCUUAAGUGCCAUAACGAGCGCAACCCUUGUUGUCAGUUACUAACAGGUUCUGCUGAGGACUCUGACAAGACUGCCAUCGUAAGAUGUGAGGAAGGUGGGGAUGACGUCAAAUCAGCACGGCCCUUACGUCCGGGGCUACACACGUGUUACAAUGGGGGGUACAGAGGGCCGCUACUACGCGAGUGGAUGCCAAUCCCAAAAACCUCUCUCAGUUCGGACUGGAGUCUGCAACCCGACUCCACGAAGCUGGAUUCGCUAGUAAUCGCGCAUCAGCCACGGCGCGGUGAAUACGUUCCCGGGCCUUGUACACACCGCCCGUCAAGCCAUGGGAGCCGGGGGUACCUGAAGUGCGUAACCGCGAGGAGCGCCCUAGGGUAAAACUGGUGACUGGGGCU
rnacentral:rRNA from 1 species